rnacentral:tRNA from 1 species
GGCUGGCUAGCUCAGUUGGUAGAGCAUGAGUCUUAAUCUCAGGGUUGUGGGUUCAAGCCCCAUGUUGGGCA